rnacentral:piRNA from 1 species
UGUGUUUACAGAUGGGUCCAAAA